UACGUAGGGUGCGAGCGUUGUCCGGAAUUACUGGGCGUAAAGAGCUCGUAGGUGGUUUGUCGCGUUGUCCGUGAAAACUCACAACUCAAUUGUGGGCGUGCGGGCGAUACGGGCAGACUGGAGUACUGCAGGGGAGACUGGAAUUCCUGGUGUAGCGGUGGAAUGCGCAGAUAUCAGGAGGAACACCGGUGGCGAAGGCGGUUGCCUGGAGCUUUGCUGACGCUGAUGCGCGAAAGCGUGGGGAGCGAUCCGG
rnacentral:rRNA from 1 species